UUGAACGCUGGCGGCAGGCUUAACACAUGCAAGUCGAGCGGGGGAAGGUAGCUUGCUACCGGACCUAGCGGCGGACGGGUGAGUAAUGCUUAGGAAUCUGCCUAUUAGUGGGGGACAACAUCUCGAAAGGGAUGCUAAUACCGCAUACGUCCUACGGGAGAAAGCAGGGGAUCUUCGGACCUUGCGCUAAUAGAUGAGCCUAAGUCGGAUUAGCUAGUUGGUGGGGUAAAGGCCUACCAAGGCGACGAUCUGUAGCGGGUCUGAGAGGAUGAUCCGCCACACUGGGACUGAGACACGGCCCAGACUCCUACGGGAGGCAGCAGUGGGGAAUAUUGGACAAUGGGGGGAACCCUGAUCCAGCCAUGCCGCGUGUGUGAAGAAGGCCUUAUGGUUGUAAAGCACUUUAAGCGAGGAGGAGGCUACUUUAGUUAAUACCUAGAGAUAGUGGACGUUACUCGCAGAAUAAGCACCGGCUAACUCUGUGCC
rnacentral:rRNA from 1 species